rnacentral:tRNA from 1 species
GGGCGUAUAGCUCAGCGGGAGAGCACUACAUUGACAUUGUAGGGGUCAUAGGUUCAAUCCCUAUUACGCCCACCA